AUUGAACGCUGGCGGCAGGCCUAACACAUGCAAGUCGAACGAGUGGCGGACGGGUGUGUAAUGUCUGGGAAAUUGCCUGAUGGAGGGGGACAACUACUGGAAACGGUAGCUAAUACCGCAUACUACCGGAUCUGCCCAUAUGGGUUUAGCUUGUAGGUGGGGUAACGGCGCACCUAGGCAACGAUCCGUAGCUGGUCUGAGAGGAUGACCAGCCACACUGGAACGUAGACACGGUCCGGACUCCUACGGGAGGCAGCAGUGGGGAAUAUUGGACAAUGGGCGCAAGCCUGAUGCAGCCAUGCCGCGUGUAUGAAGAAGGCCUUCGGGUUGUAAAGUACUUUCAGCGGGGAGGCGUUACCCGCAGAAGAAGCACCGGCUAACUCCGUGCCAGCAGCCGCGGUAAUAC
rnacentral:rRNA from 1 species